GCCUAUGGCGAUGCCACCCUGAACAUGUCCAAUCUCAUCUGAUCUCUGAAGCUAAGCAGGGUCAGGCCUGGUUAGUACAUGGAUGGAAGACCACCCAGAAGACCAGGUGCUACAGGCA
rnacentral:rRNA from 1 species